GUAUUUGAAUUUGUGGCGCUUGGUGUCCGCGAGUUGCCGAAUGAAGCUGAGCGUCUCAGUGGAACCAGGGAUCUCAGGGAGGGGAAGGUAUAAAAUUUUCAAAUGGAGGAGUAUACCUGAACCUAAUCAUGGAUGUGAUUUUAUGUAAGUAAUAUGUGAGCAAUCAUCAACAGAGAAGCUUUCUGCAACCAAAGUGAAGACUGAAGCCUUAGGCUAUGGCAGAAGUUGGGCGCCUGAAGUACACGUGGAAAUAUGCCAACUGAACAUUGGACUACCACGUCAAGGGUCUCCUACCCCUGGGCCAUGGAUCAAUACCAGUCUGUGACCUGUUAGGAACCGGUAGCAGGAGCGCCUGCCCCUGGCUCAGCGCCCGGUGCCAACAGAACACCUUUCAGGAUCCACAGCAACGCAGACAACGAGUCCAGAAUCCCGGCCUCUGCUUGGAACGGAACAGUGUCAUGGCGGAGACGACGGCCUUUGUCUUGCUGGGUGUGAAAACAUCCGCUGUGCUGGCUCCACUGCGGCAGAAUCAAGUUUAAAGGAAAAAAACACGCAGCAAGUGAAGCGACAAGAGGAAUCCAUUAUGCAAAUCAUGUCACUUUGCAUAACGUCUCAUGACUAGAAUAUGCAAAUGAACUGUAUAAUUUAUGAGUGCCAGUGUCUGUCUAAGAGUGUUUCACAUAAUUUACAAAGUGAGCCUGAGAGGCAUGAGGAAGGCAGCUCUUCCGAUUCCAUUGCCAGGAAAGCGCUAUAUAUUUUUCUGUAAGUGAUCCCUCAUAAUAUCAUCAAGUGCUAUUUAAAAGAAAUGAAGAUUUCAAAUGUACAUGAAAGGCAAAGAUUUUCCUCUCACUUCCUUCACCCAUUGAUUUUUUUUCCUAAAAUUUGCAAGAAACUUGGACUCUAAAGCCUUAAAUUUUGGAUUUAAUUUGGAAAAGAAAAGUUAUUUGAGCCAAACUUGCUCUUUGUAUGAGGGUUUUCUUUUUUUAAGCAAGGAAUGUCUUAGAGAAGCAGACACCUUAUCUAUUAAUAUUUGCCUGGACCUAUAGAAGGCAGAAGAAUGGGAUUUCUCAUUUUGGUUGGUUUUAUGUUUGCCCUGUAACAUUUUAUAAAUAAUAGUCUCAUGGAUGUAUUAAAUAUUGAUAUGGAAUACUCAUACAAUCAAUAUUCUUCUGAAGUUAUAAUUCUACUUUCAGAAUAGUCUUCACAGGAGAAAUUAUAUCCAGUAAAAAUCAGAUUCUAGUUAAGUGA
rnacentral:lncRNA from 1 species